GAACGCACUGGGAGGUCACUGCAGGUCAAGAGAGGCACUGACCUCACUCACCCCCUGGGGUAGCCCUAACUCUGGGGCUUGCAGCAGCCGAAAGGGGCUCGCUGGGCCUCUUGCCUCACCAGUGUUAGAAGGGGUGGGUGGUCUGGGAAUGACCCCUGUUCCUUCUCCUCGGAAGACAGGGUUCUGUGCGCACAGCCUUCCGACGCUAGUGGUUUGCAGCAACACGUUUGCCCAGUGAAUAAGUCGGUGAAUUCCUAACUGCCUGCCUUCCAAAGCCCAGCGCUCCCGUGGAGACAGCAGAAACCAAUGCUGACUUCAAGUCAACCCAGCAUCCCCGACGGGAGGAAUUCGUCCCACUUCACCGACGCGUCCUGAGGGCCUUCCUGGCAUUCUGCACAGAGGUGUAUAGGAAAAGGUGUUAUGGCACAGUGGGUUAAGCUGCCUUUGCAGUUCCAGCUGCUCCACUUCCAGUCCAGCUCCCUGCUGAUGUUCCUGGGAAAGCAGCAGAAGAUGGCCCAAGUACAAAGGCCCCUGCCACCCAUGUAGGAGAACUGGAUGGAGCUCCAGGCUCCUGGCUUCAGCCUGACCCAGCCUCAGCCAUUGCAGACAUUUGCCUGGGAAAGCAGGAGAAGAUGGCCCAAGUCCUUGGGCAGCUGCACCCAUGUGGGAGACCCGGAAGAAGCCCCUGGCUCCUGCCUUCGGAUCAGCUAAGCUCUGG